CAAUAUCCCAUCCAUACUCUCUUUCUCAGUGAAUACAUUACCAUUCCCUGAGUGGCCUAAGCUGCAAGUUUAGGUGUUAUCCUAAUUCCAUCUCUUCGUCAUGUACUCAUAACUAAAUCAAUUAUUUGAUCUUGUCAACAAAUUCCAGGAGCAGUGCAGAGACCACUAUGGCUGGAGCAGAGUGAGCAAAGGGGAGAGACAAGAAGGAGCUUAGGUCACAGCAGUAAGGACUUGUGCCAUAGCACAGAGAAGUGGAGAAUACAAGAACAGCAACAUCCAGAAAUUAAAACACAAACAAACCAAAGCACCCACAACAACUCAAACUAGGCCCUUAUUAUCGGAGUUUCAGUCAGCCAACAUAAAGUAGGCUCUUUCUACACCCACCUCUGCUUUAUUAUCCACAGUAUUUUUCAGUCUUACUUCUAUCAAAAUCAUCUAACUUAUUGAUUUGUUUACUUGUUUAUUCUCCAUUUCUGUAGUCCUAGUUUUCUUUUUCCUAAGAGUUGUUUCUUCAUAAAAGCAGGUGACCUCUGCAACUUAUCUUGUCACUCUCUACCCUUUGUACCCAGAAUAAUGUCUAAUAUAUACUAACUAAGUGUUCAACUCUGAUAUCUCACCUUUUUUCCCCAAUGUCCCUUUCCUCUUUCCCUUUCUUCCAUUCCUAACUUCCUCCCUUGAGUCAAAACCUUUCUCUUCUAUAGCAGGCAACAGAUUAAAAAAAUCUCAUCAGAUUAGAGGAAAUAAAUUCCAACUUUAUAACUGGAAAGAAAGAGUAAUAGCUUGAUUUCUAUUGCCUAUGCUUACUACAGGAAAAUUGAGCAAACAUUUUUUCACAAAACACUGAAUCCUCCCUUUCUUCUUGAGUACAGGCUGGAUUUAGUGAGUUGAUUCCACAGAAUAGAGUAUAGGAAGGGGUGAAAAGUUACUUUGCGGUGCAGAAAAUUGGCAGUCACUAUCUUAAUGAAGUGAUCAAAGUUAACUUUCCCAGUGAUAUAAUUUUGAUACUACGUACCCUUGAUAUGAUAUGAUGAGAAUGCCACUUCUCUGAUGUGACAUUCUUCCCCAGACCAAUAGCCACAGUCUAAGAAUAAGAAAAGCAUCUGACAGGGCUAGGCAGGGUGGCUCAUGCCUGUAAUCUCAGCACUUUGGGAGGCCAAGGCGGGCCGAUCACGAUGUCAGGAGAUUGUGACCAUCCUGGCUGACACGGUGAAACCCCAUCUCCACUACAAAUAACAAAAAUUAGUAGGGUGUGGUGGUGGGCACCUGUAGUCCCAGCUACUCGGGAGGCUGAGUCAGAAGAAUGGCUUGAACCCGAGAGGCAGAGCUUGCAGUGAGCCCAGAUUGUGCCACUGCACUCCAGCCUGGACGAUAGAGCAAGACAGUCUCAAAAAAAAAAAAAAAAAAAAAAAAGAAAAGCAUCUGAUAAACACAGAAUGAAGAUCAUUCUACCAAACAUGUGCCCAGUGCUUCUCAAGCCUGUCAAGGUCAUCAAAAACAAGGAAAAACAAUCACAGACCAGAGAAGACUAAGGAGGCAUGAUAUCCAAAUGUGAUGUGGUACUGUGGAUGGGAUCUUGCAACAGAAAAAGAAUAUUAGAGAAAAACUGGUGGAAUCCAAAAACAGUCUAGAGUUUAGUUAACAGUAAUAUACCAAUGUUGGUUUGUUGUGAUGAAUGUACUGUGGUGUUUAUGUAAGAUGUUAACUAUUAGGAAAACUGGAUGUGGAAACUCUGUAUACUAUCUUUGUAACUUUUAUGUAAAUCUACAACUCUUCUGAAAUAAAAGGAUUUUAUUUUAA
rnacentral:lncRNA from 10 species